rnacentral:rRNA from 1 species
AUACGGAGGAUCCAAGCGUUAUCCGGAUUUAUUGGGUUUAAAGGGUGCGCAGGCGGAAGAUUAAGUCGGCGGUGAAAUUUUGCAGCUCAACUGUAAAAGUGCCAUCGAUACUGGUUUUCUUGAGUGUGGAUGAAGUAGGCGGAAUUUGGGGUGUAGCGGUGAAAUGCAUAUAUAUCAGGAGGAACUCCGAUUGCGCAGGCGGCUUGCUAGGCCAUAACUGACGCUCAGGCACGAAGGCGUGGGGAUCAAACAGGAUUAGAUACCCUGGUAGUCCACGCAGUAAACGAUGAUUACUCGCUGUUUGCGAUACACAGUAAGCGGCUUAGCGAAAGCGUUAAGUAAUCCGCCUGGGGAGUACGUUCGCAAGAAUGAAACUCAAAGGAAUUGACGGGG